UACGAGAUAUUGUAAUGGUAGCAUAAAAGUCUCAUUAGCUUAUGGUUUAGGUUCAAAUCCUAAUCUCGUAA
rnacentral:tRNA from 2 species